CCUACGGGAGGCAGCAGUGGGGAAUCUUGCGCAAUGGGCGAAAGCCUGACGCAGCCAUGCCGCGUGAAUGAUGAAGGUCUUAGGAUUGUAAAAUUCUUUCACCGAGGACGAUAAUGACGGUACUCGGAGAAGAAGCCCCGGCUAACUUCGUGCCAGCAGCCGCGGUAAUACGAAGGGGGCUAGCGUUGCUCGGAAUUACUGGGCGUAAAGGGAGCGUAGGCGGAUAGUUUAGUCAGAGGUGAAAGCCCAGGGCUCAACCUUGGAAUUGCCUUUGAUACUGGCUAUCUUGAGUACGGAAGAGGUAUGUGGAACUCCGAGUGUAGAGGUGAAAUUCGUAGAUAUUCGGAAGAACACCAGUGGCGAAGGCGACAUACUGGUCCGUUACUGACGCUGAGGCUCGAAAGCGUGGGGAGCAAACAGGAUUAGAUACCCUGGUAGUCCACGCUGUAAACGAUGAGUGCUAGUUGUCGGCAUGCAUGCNUGUCGGUGACGCAGCUAACGACAUUAAGACACUCCGCCGUCGGGGAGGUACGGUCGCGAAGAAGUUAAAACGUUAAAAGGUAAAGUUAGACGG
rnacentral:rRNA from 1 species